rnacentral:rRNA from 1 species
AGAGUUUGAUCCUGGCUCAGGAUGAACGCUAGCUACAGGCUUAACACAUGCAAGUCGAGGGGCAUCAGUUUGGUUUGCUUGCAAACCAAAGCUGGCGACCGGCGCACGGGUGAGUAACACGUAUCCAACCUGCCUCAUACUCGGGGAUAGCCUUUCGAAAGAAAGAUUAAUAUCCGAUAGCAUAUAUUUCCCGCAUGGGUUUUAAUAUUAAGGAAAUUCGGUAUGAGAUGGGGAUGCGUUCCAUUAGUUGUUGGCGGGGUAACGGCCACCAAGACUACGAUGGAUAGGGGUUCUGAGAGGAAGGUCCCCCACAUUGGAACUGAGANACCCCCCCCCGGUAAACCUCCUACGGAGGCA